rnacentral:lncRNA from 1 species
ACAAGCCUAAAUUGACUAAAUGACUCAAACACAGGACCAGUUUAACAUUUAAGCCUAUAUGAUACCUAUAUCAUAGGUUGAUAAAAUAUGUUUAAUCUGUGAUACAGGUGUCUACAAAAUAAAUAAAAAUUAUCUACCUAUCAUCCAUAACAUAGUUCAAAGAAAUUUCAUUUUUCAUACAAUUAUGGAUCUAUAUUAUUAUAUAUGUUGAUAAUAAUAUAUAAUACAUACGAAAUACAUUAGUUAGCACAGUUAACCUAUGAUAGAGGUAGAAGAAAAAUUGGGAUACAAAGGGAAAAGGAGAAACAAUUAUUUAUUCUUAUAUUUAAUACUAAAAUUAAGUAAUGAUGAACGUAUAAAAAAGGGAUGACAUUUAUCACAAUUUAAUUAAAAUAGAUGUUAAUAACAAGUGAAUGGACCUAACCUAACAAAUUGGAUUAAACCUAAUAAUAACUCACAAAACUGGACUUAUAUCAAAUUUGCUCAAUUUUUAAAAAAGAGAAAAAAUGUUUCUAUGUUGUGGCUUAUUUUCACUGAGGGGUGCGGCAAAGAAUAGAGAGAGAGAAUUGUGGAAUUUCAAGGAUGUCAAUUUCCAUUUGCAUGUGCCUUUAUUU